rnacentral:rRNA from 1 species
UACGGGGGGGGCAAGCGUUGUUCGGAAUUACUGGGCGCAAAGGGCUCGUAGGUGGCCAACUAAGUCGGACGUGAAAUCCCUCGGCUUAACCGGGGAACUGCGUCCGAUACUGGUUGGCUUGAGUUCGGUAGGGGAGACUGGAAUUCCUGGUGUAGCGGUGAAAUGCGCAGAUAUCAGGAGGAACACCGGUGGCGAAGGCGGGUCUCUGGGCCGAUACUGACGCUGAGGAGCGAAAGCGUGGGGAGCGAACAGG